CUGCGAAGGUGGCCUGUGAGGGUUGCUGGAGGUAUCAGAAGUGCGAAUGCUGACAUAAGUAACGAUAAAGCGGGUGAAAAGCCCGCUCGCCGGAAGACCAAGGGUUCCUGUCCAACGUUAAUCGGGGCAGGGUGAGUCGACCCCUAAGGCGAGGCCGAAAGGCGUAGUCGAUGGGAAACGGGUUAAUAUUCCCGUACUUGGUGUUACUGCGAAGGGGGGACGGAGAAGGCUAUGUUGGCCGGGCGACGGUUGUCCCGGUUUAAGCGUGUAGGUGUGUGUUCCAGGUAAAUCCGGUUCACUUUAACACUGAGGCGUGAUGACGAGGCACUACGGUGCUGAAGCAACAAAUGCCCUGCUUCCAGGAAAAGCCUCUAAGCAUCAGGUAACAUCAAAUCGUACCCCAAACCGACACAGGUGGUCAGGUAGAGAAUACCAAGGCGCUUGAGAGAACUCGGGUGAAGGAACUAGGCAAAAUGGUGCCGUAACUUCGGGAGAAGGCACGCUGACA
rnacentral:rRNA from 1 species